rnacentral:rRNA from 1 species
CUGUAGUGACACGGAAGGUAAGACAGAGCCGGGAAUGAGAAAACCGGUGCAAGCACAAUAGAUGUGUGGGAGGAAAAUCCCCCGCAUAAGUCAAAGGUGUGAUGCGGACCGAAAAAGAGUAGGGAAGCUGUUAAGCAAGCCGUCAAGAAAAGCUGCUAUUGUUUCAUUAUGGCCCGUACCGUAAACCGACACAGGUGGAUGGGGAGAGGAUCCUAAGGCCGGCGGAAGAAGUAUUGUUAAGGAACUCGGCAAAAUGACCCCGUAACUUCGGGAGAAGGGGUGCCUGCGAGAGCAGGCCGCAGAGAAGAGGCCCAAGCAACUGUUUAGCAAAAACACAGGUCUAUGCGAAACCGAAAGGUGAGGUAUAUGGGCUGACGCCUGCCCGGUGCUGGAAGGUUAAGGGGAGUGGUCAGGAAACGAAGCCACGAGCUUAAGCCCCAGUAAACGGCGGCCGUAACGAUAACGGUCCUAAGGUAGCGAAAUUCCUUGUCGGGUAAGUUCCGACCCGCACGAAAGGCGUAAUGAUUUGGGCGCUGUCUCGACAAUACAUCCGGUGAAAUUGAAGUGCCAGUGAAGAUGCUGGCUACCUGCGCCAGGACGGAAAGACCCCAUGGAGCUUUACUCCAGCUUGAUACUGGGACCCGGUAUUGCAUGUACAGGGUAGGUGGGAGGCUAGGAAAUGUGGACGCCAGUCUGCAUGGAGCCGCUGUUGGGAUACCACCCUUGUGGUGCUGGGUUUCUAACCAGAGGCCGUGAACCGGUCUGGGGACAAUGUCAGGUGGGGAGUUUGACUGGGGCGGUCGCCUCCGAAAGGGUAUCGGAGGCGCCCAAAGGUUCCCUCAGAAUGGUUGGAAACCAUUCGAAGAGUGCAAAGGCAGAAGGGAGCUUGACUGCGACACCGACGGGUGGAGCAGGUACGAAAGUAGGGCUUAGUGAUCCGGUGGAAUUUAAGUGGGAAUGCCAUCGCUCAACGGAUAAAAGCUACCCUGGGGAUAACAGGCUGAUCACUCCCAAGAGUUCACAUCGACGGAGUGGUUUGGCACCUCGAUGUCGGCUCAUCGCAUCCUGGGGCUGAAGUCGGUCCCAAGGGUUGGGCUGUUCGCCCAUUAAAGCGGUACGCGAGCUGGGUACAGAACGUCGUGAGACAGUUCGGUCCCUAUCCGGCGUGGGCGUAGGAUAUCUGAGAGGAGCUGUCCUUAGUACGAGAGGACCGGGAUGGACUGACCUCUGGUGUACCGGUUGGCGAUCAACGCCACGGCCGGGUAGCCAUGUCGGGACGGGAUAAACGCUGAAGGCAUCUAAGCGUGAAGCCCCCCUCAAGAUGAGAUAUCCCAUCGUAAGAGUAAGACCCCUUGAAGACGACGAGGUUGAUAGGGCAGGGGUGGAAGUGCUGUAAGGCAUGGAGCUGACUGCUACUAAUCGGUCGAGGGCUUGACC